UUUAAAACAGAUAUGUUUUCCACUAACUUAGGGAACAUCAAGAAAAUUCAUAUUAAAACACGUAUUUGUUAAUAUUCCUGUUCUCUACAUUUUCUGUUCAAAGUGAAGACUAUACAUACCUACAUAUGCAAGUGUAUCUACUUUGGAUCAUUUUCAUUGGUGCGCUCUCCUGAUAAGCAAGCUUGACAAUGGAACAUUUGCUCAUUUUCAGUGUGAGCAAAAGGCUAAAGGCUGCAUAAAUUCCUGGAAUAUUGAGAGUAAAACUGAAAGAAGAAUCCAUUACAAGAUGGGAUGAGAAAAGUUUGGUCCUUUGAGGUUUAGCUUCGAAGUUUGAAUACAAUAAAGAUAACGAAGAAAAAGACAAAUGUAGUUGUGUCAACAGCCUGAGAGAAGGAUUCAGAAUAUGAUCCUUUUCUCUCUCAGAUAAUUUGAAAUAAUAAAGCCUAUUUACUCUGGAAACUGACUGUACUCAGGGACAGGAGCAGUAAAAAAUGAAGAACUACAGUUUUGAAUGCUUCCUAACACCAUUUGUACAGUGUGUCAUGUUGUUCUAUGAGUUCUGUUCAUCUGUGAUGUAGAGGAUCUCAUCUCAUCAAAGCUUUACAAGUACUGCAAGUUUGACAUAUGGAAGAAUUACCAACACGCAUUUCAAAGGUUGAUUUUCCAGGAUAUACAUAAACUACUAUGGAACCAAAGGAAAAAAAUGUGGAUACUGUUUGUGGAUACUGGUGUCUGUAUAUUUCAUCUACAUCUGCAAAUGAAUACAGCACUCAAAUAAUAAUAAUUAAAAAAAAAAAAACUACUAAAAAUUAAGAAAAGUUGGAUAUGUUAGGAAACAGUGAUAUGUGAAGAAAAGCCAUCUUACUAUAAGAACUUGGUUACAGAAGAUGAAUGUGAAGAGGAACAAUCCUAGUGAAAGUGACAGAUUCUGAACCAGUAGAGUUAAAUUGUUUCAUUUUAAAUUAUCAUUAUUAAUUAUCAUCAUUAUAAAAAGACUGUUGGAUUCCUCAUGUCUGUGUCUCCAGUCCACAACAGAGAUUCGAAAAUGUUAUCACAUUAGUUUGAGAUAUAUCGAGUUUUCAAUUUUAUUUUGUUUCUCUCAGUACAGCCUACUGAACAGGUUGUGCUGGAUUAUUAAAUUGGUAGUAAAUAUAAAUACAGUACUAGUUUCUGAUUAUUGCUAAUCUUCAUGUUAUUUUGACUGGAACACUAUGCUUCUAGAGUACACUCCUGUUUCUUUUUGUUUACCUUCCUUUGUCCUCAUUUGUAUAAAUAAUAGCUAAAUAAUCACAGAAGUUACAUUCACUUAUUUCUGAAACAUAAUAUCUCUAUUGCCUCCUCAUCCAGAUCUGAGGCAGACUGAGUUAAUGAGACAUUUACUUCAGUCCUGUUUUUCUCCUGUGAAUCUAAAUGGUAACUGUUAUAGAUCUGUUUACUUCCUUUCUUUUUUUACCAGUGGCUCACCUUUGACAUAUCUUUUGAGUUAUACCACUUGUCUUUGGACUCCUCCAUGUUGCUGUUCAUUUGGAAAUCUCACUUAUUUUUAAAGCCUUAUUUUGGCAGCUUUCUUGCUUUUAAAAGAAUUAGCUACAUGGGAAAUCGAUCCAACUAACACUUAUUUUGCGCUCACUGAAAUGCUUCUGUGACAGACAGGUGACAUUGUGCAGCUGUAUUUUAUGCUGGUUUUGUGUUUGUUUUUAUCUACUUAAAGUCAUUCCUCCUUCAGAUUAGUUAAGUGUUAUGGCCUUUAUAGUGCUCAUUUUCAGGUAAGAGAAUUUGGUUCAAAUUCUGUCCUAGUUUCAGCUGGGACAGAAUUGCUUUCUUCAGAGCGUCUGGUAUGAUGCUAUGUUUUGGUUCUAGAAGAACAGUAUUGAUAACACCCCGUUGUCCAUACUCACUUGGGAGGUUAUCUGGACAUCAGUCAUGGAGUGGUGAGCAAUUGCUUGUGCAUCGCUGGUUAUAUACACGUAUAUAUAUAGUCAUAAUUAUUGUCCUCCUUUUCUCUAUCUUAGUAAAUAUUUUUAUCUCAACUCAUGCGCUCUACUUUUUUCUUUCAAUUCCCUCCCCCAACCCAGUAGGAAAGGGGGACUGAGUGAAUGACUGUGACUGUGAAUUACUGUGGUACUCAACCACAUGCCAGGUUAAACCACAACAACUUCUUGUUUUAAUUGAUCAGAGGGUCAAAUCCAGUAUCACUCACAUAGAAAAAUUUCGUUGAUAAUGAACAAGAUUGGGUGGUUCUGUAUUUCUUUCUUUCACCAUCCAUUCUCAAUACACACAAAUGUACGUAUAUAUAUAUAUAUAAUAGAUGCAAAGAAACCUUGAAAUGAGUUUCUCAAAAAUAUUUUAAAAUGUAAGUACAUACUAUAGCUGUAGGAGGUGCUCAUAAGAGGUUUCUCAUUGCUACUGGAAUUCAAGAUUUAUAGAUCUGUCAUUUUGCAAUGUUUGAUUUAUCUGCUCUUCAAAAGUUGUUCAUUAUUAAAAAAAAAAGAAAAGAAGUCUAAGUUUUCUAAGUGAAGAUUUACUCAGUCAACAGUACUACUAGCUGUAUGAAUCAUUCUUUGUUUUCUGGCUCAAAGCUUGCUUCCUGAGGUAUUUCUUAUGAUAAGACUCUAGGAGAUGAGAGAUGGGUGCUGCUGUGUGGCAAUCAAUAUCACUAUUUGGACAAUUUACAUUUGAAAGCAUUUCUUUGGAGCUGUUUGCCUUCAGCCCAAGAGUCAAAGGAAUGCUCAGGACUGUUUACUGGACUGUUUACUGGCAGAAGAUCUGUCCUGUGACCAAAGUCUGCUAUGGGAGAUUGGAGGAUGAUACCAUCAUAUCUUGUGAAGGCAAGAUACUAGUUGGCAUCUCCAUACUCCCUCUUAUCUGCUGGCAAGGCCAGGGAGAUAGGAACAAAAGGAAUUCCUGCUGAGAUCCAAAAGCCAGAAACUGUCAUUCCAAAAGGCUGACUCAACCACUGUGGACUUAUAAAUAAGUUUGUGCUGUCAUCAUCGUCAUCAUCGCCAUCGCCGUCGUCGUCGCGGUGGUCACUGUCCUCAUCAACGCAACAACACCCAAUGGCCCACGUCUACUUAAGAGCAAUGACUGAACCAUGAACCACGGUAGACCCAUGGUGGUGACUAUCUCCCUCUUGCUUCCUAUAGAGACUCCUUGCUCCUAUUUCCUAUCUUUUCUGCUGCCCUUCUUCCCUUCCCCAUCACACUAAUCUAUACCUAUAAAGACUCCUUGAUUCUAUUUUCUAUCUUUUCUAUUGCCUUUCUUCCCUUCCCCAUUACCCCAGUCUGUAAUAGUUUCCAUCCUCCCCUUUCUUCAUCUUCCUUAUUAACAUUUGUAAUAAACUGGUCGGACCAACAUUUGAACCGUUGUUUCUUAAUCUCACACUGGGUAUACAUACAUCAGAGAACCUCCUCUCCC
rnacentral:lncRNA from 1 species